UGAGCCGGGGUAAGCUUGGUGCUACCUCUUUUCUUCUGUUUGUUAUUUUCUUUGAAUAAGAGGAUUGAGAGUUUCUGAAUAUUGUGAAGUGAAUUAUGGAAUGGAAAUGUAAUUGGUACUAUUUGAGAAGAAGAAAGAUUGAAUGUUGAAAUCUAAUUGUAAUUCAGCAGAGAGAAUGAGUCUGUGUUUGUGUGAAACACUGUAAUGUGAAUGGCAGUUUUGUGUGAAGAAUUCCAGUGAUUGGAAUGAGGGUAAUUGUGUGCUGAAAGCUGUGAGGGCGCAAUAUUACAGUUGGAGAUUAUGAAGGUGAGUAUAUUGGUGGAAAUAGUAGUUAUUGAUAUGACUGAAUUAUUGUAAGGAAGAGACCGAUAAGGUGAAGGAGGAGAUUAUAGUUUCCUUGUGUAUUCAGAUAUUGGAAAUAGA
rnacentral:lncRNA from 1 species